AUUGAACGCUGGCGGCAGGCCUAACACAUGCAAGUCGAGCGGUAGAGAGAAGCUUGCUUCUCUUGAGAGCGGCGGACGGGUGAGUAAUGCCUAGGAAUCUGCCUGGUAGUGGGGGAUAACGUUCGGAAACGGACGCUAAUACCGCAUACGUCCUACGGGAGAAAGCAGGGGACCUUCGGGCCUUGCGCUAUCAGAUGAGCCUAGGUCGGAUUAGCUAGUUGGUGGGGUAAUGGCUCACCAAGGCGACGAUCCGUAACUGGUCUGAGAGGAUGAUCAAUCACACUGGAACUGAGACACGGUCCAGACUCCUACGGGAGGCAGCAGUGGGGAAUAUUGGACAAUGGGCGAAAGCCUGAUCCAGCCAUGCCGCGUGUGUGAAGAAGGUCUUCGGAUUGUAAAGCACUUUAAGUUGGGAGGAAGGGCAAUUACCUAAUACGUAAUUGUUUUGACGUUACCGACAGAAUAAGCACCGGCUAACUCUGUGCCAGCAGCCGCGGUAAUACAGAGGGUGCAAGCGUUAAUCGGAAUUACUGGGCGUAAAGCGCGCGUAGGUGGUUUGUUAAGUUGGAUGUGAAAUCCCCGGGCUCAACCUGGGAACUGCAUUCAAAACUGACUGACUAGAGUAUGGUAGAGGGUGGUGGAAUUUCCUGUGUAGCGGUGAAAUGCGUAGAUAUAGGAAGGAACACCAGUGGCGAAGGCGACCACCUGGACUAAUACUGACACUGAGGUGCGAAAGCGUGGGGAGCAAACA
rnacentral:rRNA from 1 species